rnacentral:lncRNA from 1 species
CACACUUUGCAUCAUCACUUCAUUUUCACCCUUGGACCAUUGCACACCACACACCUUGCCAUGCAUUUCAUCCUUAACCUAACCUGAUUUUCUAAGGUUUUUGGGGCCUAUAAAUACAUGUUUACACCCCUUGGCAAAAGAACAAUCCCCCAUAUUCAUCAUUUUAUAACAGAAAUUCGUCCAUACACACCCUAGGAAGCAAAACACCCCAAAAACACCAUUCUAGUGCCUAGAAAACAUAACAGCCACUCCACCUUCUUCCACCCUCUUUGCCUAGUUCUCCACCACCCUCCAACCCUCAAACACUCCUCCACACUCACCCUAAACCCUUCCAUAACAUUCCCCAUCCAUUCUACAUCAUAAAACUACCCAAAAUCUGUCCAUAACCCAAUCUGCUGCAAGCAAGGGAAAGGAGGAAUCUUGGAUGCACUUGCUACCAAGUUGGAGCAUUUUAGGUGUUUUCUUUCCUUUGAUUUUAAUCUCUAAUUUUAUGUAUCUUUGCUUUGUGAGUAUGAGGAACUAAACCCCUCUUAGUUAGGGGGUGAUUCGAAACUAUGUUCAUACUUGCAAUAUGAUUUGAUUACAUCCAGUUGUGAUUCAUAAAUUGUGAAUUCAAUUUACUUAUCCGUUCAUAUAAAAACUAAUUUGUGUAUGUUGGUUAAGAGUGCACGCUUAAUUUUCAUGCAUGAAUUUGACGCUAGAAUAUAAGGGAGUUUCACCUAAUCGUUAUAAACUUAUAUUCACAAGUAGUGAAGGUUGCUAGUCACAAUCACGUUAAGUAAACUCUUGGCAUAAGUUUCAUGCAAAUCAUAGUAACGAGUGCCUCGUCAAUGCUUAUGUUUUUCAUAGAACUUAAUGAUUCUUGCUUGUAUCUCUAUUAUGCAAUUCAUAUAGGGAACUUGUAGGGAAUGUUUUGGGUUGUCGUAUGCGAUCAUCCAACCUAAUAACUUGUGGAAAAACUGAGGGUUAAUUAGUGCAAUUCACGGUUAAUUUGGGGCGUUGAGUAUUCAUAGCUUAUGGAAAAGCAACUGGAAAUCGUUUUGUAUGCAAGUGUGACAUAUGUGGAGAAGAACCUCCUAGCUAAUCUUCCAUCCAUAAGUUUCAUUCAAAUUCACUUACAAUCUGUUUUGUUUUACAAAGUUUGUUUUGUUUUCAAAUUCAUUAAAACCAAAAUCCCCCUUUUACUUUAUUGUUUCAAAGUGUUUAAUUUCUGUUUUGGUUGUGUGUUAGAGUGUUUUGAUUCACCCAAAUUUGUCUAAGAAUUUGUUUACUUUGUUCUUGUCUUAAUUUAAUUAUUUUCGUCAAAAAUCAACCCCAUCUUAUUUCUUUGAGUCAUAUUAAUUAGAACUUGUCUUAGAUUAUGUUUUUAAGUGUUUUAGUUCAUUAGAAUACCAAAAUUUGUCCAAGUUUGUGUGAGAGUCCCAAAAUUGCCCAGAUUGUGUUUUUAAGGUAGUUUUGAGUGUUUAGGGGCUGUUUUGAG